UAGAAUUUUGCCAUUGAACUUUUACACGAACAUGCUCAAUAGAUCUCAGCAACUUUUUGCAUUAAAACUCUUGAAAAAUAUUUAUUUUUGGAAAAGUUGCCUUCAAAUUACUAAUCGUUCGGCACUAUACCCUACUCUCCCCUAAGUAAAAGCUCAUUAGUUAGCUGCUAGCAGUAAUGGGCGAGCCCUACCAUACUAUUAAUUCUAUUACAAAUUAGUAACCCCAGCCCCAAGGACCCGAAGAACUUACAUUCGCGUGCCGACUGAUGCAGCUGUGGGGCCGCAUGCGGUUGAACUCCCGAGCCUGCUUGUAGCAGGCAAGCGAGUCGUUUACCGACAGGUGGUAGUCGAUCGGCUGCGGAUUGACCGUGAGGACGACGGUGCCGUCCCGUGGACACAGCUGGUCGAUGACCAGCAGGAUGAGGUUGCUGAACGGGAUGGGCAGGACGACAAAUGGCCGCUCACAUGCAUGGGCUGUCAUAUUGUAGACAACGUUGUCCUUCUCCUUGUACAGCGUGUAAAGCUCGCGCUUCAUGUCGCACGGCUUGAGCCGUGUGCGAUGGAGUGUCAAGUAGCGCAGCCAGUAGUCGUCGUCCUUCUUCCCGUGGCCAUUGCCGUUGCGGCCAUGGUGCUCCGGAUGCGGCUCCGGCGGAGGAGGCUCGGUGUCGUUGGAGUCGCCGUACAUAUCCGCAUAAUGGCUGGACACUCCGGGCGCCCACUGCAACAGUUGCACAAUAUACCACAGCGCCGUAUGCAGCAGCCAUUUGCCCACUCGCAGCAGAUGAAUCAGGGGCUAAAAAACGUUGUGAUGUUAGUACCGAUUCGAGUCUAACAGCCGAACCUCUAUAACUCACUAAAUUUCGAGAACUAAACCAUUAAUAUAAAACUAUGUUGGGAAA